rnacentral:rRNA from 1 species
CCUACGGGAGGCAGCAGUGGGGAAUCUUGCGCAAUGGGGGGCAACCCUGACGCAGCCAUGCCGCGUGAAUGAUGAAGGCCUUAGGGUUGUAAAGUUCUUUUGCCCGUGACGAUGAUGACGGUAACGGGAGAAUAAGCUCCGGCUAACUUCGUGCCAGCAGCCGCGGUAAUACGAAGGGGGCUAGCGUUGUUCGGAAUUACUGGGCGUAAAGCGCGCGCAGGCGGUUCGAUAAGUUAGGGGUGAAAUCCCUGGGCUCAACCCAGGAAUGGCCUUUAAGACUGUCGAGCUAGAGGACGAGAGAGGUGAGUGGAAUUCCCAGUGUAGAGGUGAAAUUCGUAGAUAUUGGGAAGAACACCGGUGGCGAAGGCGGCUCACUGGCUCGUUUCUGACGCUGAGGCGCGAAAGCGUGGGGAGCAAACAGGAUUAGAUACCCUGGUAGUCCACGCCCUAAACGAUGAGUGCCAGGUGUCGGGAAGCUUAGCUUCUCGGCGCCGCAGCUAACGCCUUAAGCACUCCGCCUGGGGAGUACGGCCGCAAGGUUAAAACUCAAAGGAAUUGACGG